ensembl:lncRNA
CAACUUUAACAUUAAAAGGUGUAAAAACAAGUACAAGAUAUUUACAAUAAGCAGACCUCAGUGCAAGAAAGUGUCUUUCCAACACUGAAAAGGUCAAAGGUCAACUUUAACAUUAAAAGGUGUAAAAACAAGUACAAGAUAUUUACAAUAAGCAGACCUCAGUGCAAGAAAGUGUCUUUCCAACACUGAAAAGCACAAAGGUCAACUUUAACAUUAAAAGGUGUAAAAACAAGUACAAGAUAUUGACAAUAAACAGACCUCAGUGCAAGAAAGUGUCUUUCCAACACUGAAAAGGUCAAAGGUCAACUUUAACAUUAAAAGGUGUAAAAACAAGUACAAGAUAUUUACAAUAAGCAGACCUCAGUGCAAGAAAGUGUCUUUCCAACACUGAAAAGGUCAAAGGUCAACUUUAACAUUAAAAGGUGUAAAAACAAGUACAAGAUAUUUACAAUAAACAGACCUCAGUGCAAGAAAGUGUC